rnacentral:lncRNA from 1 species
AUCACCGUAAGGGAAGGAAAGAAAGGAGGCCCAAGUCACUGCAAGGUCCAGCGUCCCCGCUGAGUGACAGCGGGCACAUGGGCGGGACUUAAAAGAGCGGGACUUACAAAGGGCGGGACUUACAAAGGGCGGGACUUGCAAAGGGCGGGACUCCCAAAGUGCUUUGGUAGCUAGCGAGGGCUUUGAGACGGCCGAGAGUUUGAGCGCCAAGGCUCUCUCUCCCCAGGGGACUCUGCAACCUGACUAGGUGCUCCUUCCCUGAGCAUAGUAACAUUCCAGGGAGCUGCCCGGGGAAGCUUAACGCUCGAUGCGGCCAAAGAGAUGUCAUGAUUUUGAGGGGAGCUUUUUCUGCUAUGGAUAUGAGACCGUGCUUGGAAGAAAUGAUUUAUUGCAAAUUUACUAUGAUGGACAAUCUGUCUUUCAGGGUGGUAGGAAUGUAUCAUGGUGGGAGAGUCAUGGCAGCAGGCAGCUGGAACAGGACACUAAGUAAGAACACCUUCAACUACAAGCAGAAGUCAAGGAGAACUGAAAGUGACAACUGGAACCUUGAGAGCCAAGGGAGAUUGUGGAGAGGAUGUGAGCAGAUGGCCGCUGAGGAUAGCUGACCGGGUGGGUGGGCUGGAACCUAGGCCAGGACCUGCCACCUGAGGAUUGUGCCUGCGAUGUCCAUAUGAUUGUGAACAGCUAAACAGGGAGCUCUGCUCUGUUGAAAAUCAUAAAGUUGAAAAUGAAAAGAGAUAAAACCUUAAGCACAGAAGAAUAUUUUGUCUUUGGUGAAAAGAACAACUUAAGAUUAAUUUUAUUUUUAUGCUGUAUAUGCGUGUGGGUAUGUGCAUGCAAAUUUGGGUGACUCCAAAGGUCAGAGCAUCAAAUCACUUGGAGCUGGGAUUAUAGGCAAAUGAAAGCUGCCAAGCAUAGGAAUCUAACGAAUGUCCUCUGUAUGAGCAGAGAGUACUCCUUACUGCAGAGCCAUGUUUCCAGCUUAAGGAGGGCUUUUAGAAAGAAGAUUGAUAGAGAAUACAUACUUAAUAGUUUGAUGUACUAAAAAGGUUAAUUUUUAUUCACUAUAGACACUAGAAAUAAUAUUUACAAUUUAUAUAAUGCAUGUGAUUAUAGAACUAGAAGUAACAAUAUUAAAUAUAAAUAAAUUAUUGUAAGUCAGAUAAGAGAGAUGGAAACCCCAGUAGGAAAAACCCAUUAAAGUAACUAAAAUGUGGACAAAUGAAGGUGUAUCGUUUAUUUUUACAAUUGUAAUGUUAUAUAAUUAGUAAGCACAGUUUUAUAUAAGAAAGGUGUUUAUUUGCACUAGGAAAAUGUAAAACACAAAGCAGAAGACCAUAUCGAACUAGCACUAAUUUAAGAUUUAGUAACAAGAGCUACCAGGGAGGUGAAGAUAUGAUACCCUUAUAUUCUGGCAGCCUGACAGAAGCUUCUUAAGUUACAACAUCCCCAAGCCAUUUUCCAAAGCCAACUCUCAUCAUAGAACCCUUGAGCUAGCAAAAUACACUGAUUUUAAUAUUGUUUAUGGUUUUGGAAGCAUGGAAACAAACUGUCUUUGUUACAGAACAUGAUCUAAUACCUAUCAUGAUUUACUUUUAAGAACAAAGAUAUAUUAAUGUAUAACACAAUGUAUGUAUAAUUACAUAUGUGUAAUGUAUAUCACAAAG